UGGAGAUGCCAAGCUUACCUG
rnacentral:siRNA from 1 species